UAACCGUGCAAAGGUAGCAUAAUCAAUUGGCUUUUAAUUUGAGUCUGGAAUGAAAGGAUUUAUGAGGAUUUACUGUCUUAAAUACAUAAUAUUGAAUUUAUUAAAAAAGUGAAAAUACUUUUAUUUUAAAAAAAGACGAGAAGACCCUAAGAAUUUUUAGAUAAUAUCGUAAAUUAUUUUCUUUUUGUUGGGGCGACAAUUAAGCACUAAACCUUAAUCAUUUUUUAAUCGGUUUUUUUCAGUAUAGAGUAAAUUACCUUAGGGAUAACAGCAUAAUUUUUAAAAGUUUGUGACCUCGAUGUUGGACUAGGAACUUUAUAGCUAGCAGUUAAAAAAAAUUGUUCUGUUCAAACAAAUAUCCCCUACAUGAUCUA
rnacentral:rRNA from 1 species